CUCCAACUUCAAGUAAAUCACCAAUGACAACAGGAAAUAAACGGACAUCAGAAGAGACAAACAACACGACAUCUGAAAACAACAACGAUGGACCAGGCUGCUGGAGGAUCAUCGUCGUGCCUCUGGGUUUAGCAACACUCAUAACAAGUGUUGUGGCGGUCAACAUAUGGGCAAGAGCUAAAGGGAACAAAACACAGACGGAAGAACACAUUGUGAG